AAAUAUCGUUCUGCCGGGGGAGAUGAAUUAUGUGACAUAUAUGGAGGAGAGGAAGUCAUCGAGGGAGUCGAGAGAAAAAGAAACGCUGGAGAACAUUGCCAAGUCGCAAGAAAAGCAGAAGGGCCGUGGAGUGCUGAAGAUGACGACCUGGUGGAAGCUAUUGUCGGACAAGUCAAACUAUAUAAGUCGUCUUUCAAAACACUGCAUGGGACAGAGUGGCUGGUUGAUGAGGUGAUUGAUGCAUACCUUCAUCACCUGAUUGGAAAGCAUCAGG